AAACUUUUCAACUUUGAGUCUGAACAUCCUUAAUGUCAGUAGAUUAUAAAGCUUGCCGAUAGAUUUGGGGAGCAUCCUGAUCCUUGUUCUGGAAAUAUCUAGAUACCUCAAGUGUUUCAACUCCCCAAUUGACAUUGGCAACUCAUUGCUAUCAGCCUCGUAUAAUUUUAACACACGUAAGCCCUUAAAUCU
rnacentral:pre_miRNA from 1 species